UACGUAGGGGGCAAGCGUUGUCCGGAAUCAUUGGGCGUAAAGAGCGUGUAGGCGGUCCGGUAAGUCGGCUGUGAAAGUCCAGGGCUCAACCCUGGGAUGCCGGUCGAUACUGCCGGACUAGAGUUCGGAAGAGGCGAGUGGAAUUCCCGGUGUAGCGGUGAAAUGCGCAGAUAUCGGGAGGAACACCUAUGGCGAAGGCAGCUCGCUGGGACGUUACUGACGCUGAGACGCGAAAGCGUGGGGAGGCAAA
rnacentral:rRNA from 1 species